rnacentral:rRNA from 1 species
AGGUACUCGCAACGAGCGCAACCCCUACGUUUAGUUGCUAACGCGUGAAGGCGAGCACUCUAGACGAACUGCCGUUGACAAAACGGAGGAAGUGGGGAUGACGUCAAAUCAUCAUGCCCCUUAUGUUCUGGGCUACACACGUGCUACAAUGGCCGGUACAGACGGACGCAAAGCCGCGAGGUGGAGCAAAUCCUAAAAGCCGGUCUCAGUUCGGAUUGCAGGCUGCAAUUCGCCUGCAUGAAGUCGGAAUCGCUAGUAAUCGCAGGUCAGCAUACUGCGGUGAGUACCGUUCCCGGGCCUU